rnacentral:rRNA from 1 species
CCUACGGGGGGCAGCAGUGGGGAAUAUUGGACAAUGGGCGAAAGCCUGAUCCAGCCAUGCCGCGUGUGUGAAGAAGGCCUUCGGGUUGUAAAGCACUUUCAGUGGGGAAGAAAGCCUUGGGGCUAAUACCCUCGAGGAAGGACAUCACCCACAGAAGAAGCACCGGCUAACUCCGUGCCAGCAGCCGCGGUAAUACGGAGGGUGCGAGCGUUAAUCGGAAUUACUGGGCGUAAAGCGCGCGUAGGCGGUCUGAUACAGCCGGUUGUGAAAGCCCCGGGCUCAACCUGGGAACGGCAUACCGGCAGGAGGGCUAGAGGGAAGGCGCGGGAUGGAGAAUCGCCGGUGUAUAGGUGCCCUGCGUAGAGAUCGGGCAGAAUGAGAGUGGAGAAGGCGGCCCUAUGGACUGAGACUGACGCGGUGGUGCGAAAGCGUGGGUAGCACACAGGAUUAGAUACCCUUGAAGUC